AGCGAACGCUGGCGGCAGGCCUAACACAUGCAAGUCGAACGAAGUCUUCGGACUUAGUGGCGGACGGGUGAGUAACACGUGGGAACGUACCUUUUGGUUCGGAACAACUCAGGGAAACUUGAGCUAAUACCGGAUGAGCCCUUAGGGGGAAAGAUUUAUCGCCGAAAGAGCGGCCCGUUAGAUUAGCUAGUUGGUGAGGUAAAGGCUCACCAAGGCUACGAUCUAUAGCUGGUCUGAGAGGAUGAUCAGCCACACUGGGACUGGGACACGGCCCAGACUCCUACGGGAGGCAGCAGUGGGGAAUCUUGCGCAAUGGGCGAAAGCCUGACGCAGCCAUGCCGCGUGAAUGAUGAAGGUCUUAGGAUUGUAAAAUUCUUUUACCAGGGACGAUAAUGACGGUACCUGGAGAAAAAGCCCCGGCUAACUUCGUGCCAGCCGCCGCCGUAA
rnacentral:rRNA from 1 species